UGGCGAAACAAUGUCCCCAUCCCAUUCAUCAUUCACAAACUGCAAACAUUCAAUGAGAUCACUCUCAUCCACAUUUGCCUCUAAAGUGGAAUGCUGUUGUGAUGGGUUCAUUAAGGACUGCAAUAGAGGUGCCGUGAGACAAUCUGGGCCCUCCAAAGGACCUGUUAAGUUUGUUGCAUCAUCCGCCUCGCAAUUUUUAUUUUCUCCUAAAGAUGGUGUCCUGGUCUAACGUCAAAUGUAGCAGCCCAACGUCGCAGUGUGCUCAGGGAUGGAAGAGGGAAAUGACAAUGGUAUCUUAGCGAUGUGACACUCAUUGUAGAUCCACUUUUGUCUGGUGUGAAAGGACCUGCUGUAGAUGAACGUCGAGCUAUCGGCGACUGUUGAGCACAGGGUGAUCGUCGCGUAAUAGGUGAACGUUGUGCUGAAGGCGAAUUUUGAGAAGCUACAGAAACAGUUUUUGUCGGUACUGCUGACAUCAUGAUGCGUUUUCUGGAUUAUAAUCCAGAAGUUUUUGUUGAAGGCAUUUAUAGUCGAAUUUGUCCGAAAAAUGUUGGGAACAAAUACGAGCUGAAAUCAAUUGUUUUAAUGUCUUGUCUGUAACGUAAUAACUGACAGGUUCUAAUGACUGCUAGAUUUACCAUUUUUUGUAUUGAGAACGCGCGUACUGUUACAAAAUUGCACCCAUUUUUCACACAACUCAGGCUCUUUGGGAAAUCUAUAAAAAUGUACAUUUUUUGUUUUUCGUUGGUUAUUUUUACAACCAGACACUGCACAAGUUGCCAUCACAAAUUAAAUUAUUGGUGUGUCGUAAGGUUAAUAAAAACUAACUAGUCA